CUAUCUGCUUUUCUUCACUGUAUUUGUGCUUGUAUGUAAACUAAUCCAUAUGGUUCUUGGACAAUGAGAAAAUGUUGAGCAGAAAGCAAACGUUCCUCUCGCUAUCCAGUGUGGAAUUUCUUGUGAUGUGAUUGAACGUUGAGGAAUUAUAUUG
rfam:Triticum aestivum genome assembly, contig: Triticum_aestivum_CS42_TGACv1_scaffold_306882_4AS